rnacentral:rRNA from 1 species
AGAGUUGAUCAUGGCUCGAGGACGAACGCUGGCGGCGUGCCUAACACAUGCAAGUCGAACGGGGAUUUGUUUCGGCAGAAUCCUAGUGGCGAACGGGUGAGUAACGCGUAGGCAACCUGCCCUCCGGCCGGGGACAACACUCCGAAAGGGGUGCUAAUACCGGAUACGAAGUCUGUGCCGCAUGGUACGGAUUUGAAAGAUGGCCUCUAUUUAUAAGCUAUCGCCGGGGGAUGGGCCUGCGUCCGAUUAGCUGGUUGGUGGGGUAACGGCCUACCAAGGCGACGAUCGGUAGCCGGUCUGAGAGGAUGAACGGCCACAUUGGGACUGAGACACGGCCCAGACUCCUACGGGAGGCAGCAGUGGGGAAUCUUCCGCAAUGGGCGCAAGCCUGACGGAGCAACGCCGCGUGAGUGAGGAAGUUCUUCGGAACGUAAAGCUCUGUUGUUCCUGACGAACCUCCCUUCUAUCAACAACGGAAGGGACUGACGGUAGGGAACGAGGAAGCCACGGCUAACUACGUGCCAGCCGCUGC